rnacentral:lncRNA from 1 species
AGGUUUUAUGUGGAUUUUGUAUCUUAGUAUUUCAAAACCUGUUUCUGUGGUUGGAAACAUUUUAACUGAUAGAUGUGGAUUUAUAUUUAAAUAGCGAAUGUAUAUUUGUGAAUUUGUGGUGAAUGGUGUAUGAAUGUAUAUCUGUGGUUGUUGUAUGAUUGAACUCUUGUACUUGUGCGACGCCGUGCAAAUACAGGGGAGACUCUGUCCGUGUGAACAGUGAAACUCCUGUAUUUGUGGCGGAUCUGGCACACUCUGGGGUUAGAUUUUCAAAAAAAAAAAAAAAAAAAAAAAUUUCAGACGCUUUUCCGCUACCUUUUAAACUAAAAGGGACCCCGGGACGUGACAGGUAAUGAACAUGUAAUCAACAUGUAAUCAUACUUUCUACAGUAAUGAAUCAACUGAAUAAUAAAAGCAUAGCAAUUACUGUAAGCAUGAACAUAAAGAUGAACAUAAGUAUAAACGUGUAAGUAAAUACUGUAUACUAUUGGACAUUUCGGUUGUAGUUUCGAUGCGAUUUUGAUACUUGUUUUUCAGCAGGUUCGUGAACCAGUUGAGCUGACUUUUGGGACUCUUUUGGGCUGGAUUGAGCUUAGUGAUAGGUGGGUUUGACCUAACCAGAGCAAGUGAAGCUCCCCUAUGUUCUAUAUGAUAUUAUAGAAUUGACACAUAUGUGCAUUUUUGUGAUUAUGCGAUCGAUAAAGGGAUUGGAACAUAUCACCAUAGUGUUUGAUAUAUUCUCUAUGAAGUAGAGAACACUUAUGCAUAAAAGUAUUUAUGUUUAUGUUUAGUUCAAUUGAAUAACUAAUGGACAUAUUUAUUAUGCUUCUAUAAAGUAGAGAACAAUGACAUUCCUUGUGACUAUUUUGAUAGUACCUUGAUAGUGGAAAGUUUCUAAUGCCAUAUGUAAAUUAGCAUUACUUUCAUAACUUAAAUCCAUGUUUUGGUUCACUUUAGUACCUCAAGUUCAAUCUCCAAAAGCUCUCACAAGUCAGCCGAAGACGAUUCAAGGGUCGAUUGUACUCUCGCUGCGAACAAACAUUAAACGACGUUAAAACGCUCGUAUACUAGCUAAUAUAGCCGGAAUCUUGCAAAAUCAGUUUUCUAACUGAAAUUUCAGCUUACCCCUAGUUGAACCACCUUCUAAACAAGCCCCCAAAGUCACCAAUUUAAUGUAAAAUGAAUCAAAAACCUGCUACGAAGAAAUCAUUCCAAACUGCAUCAAGUUGCUCAAAUGAAUCGCGUAUAGUUCCGAAAUAACUUCAUAGAUAACUAAUUACCUUAAUCAAGCUUCAAAGCAACUUUUCCCUGCACUAGAGUGGAUAAAUUACAGCUAAAUAACUCCUCUCUAGCUGCUGGAAACUCCUCCUAAUUCAGCUGGGAGCAAAGAAAUCAAAACGACUCAAAAUUUGCUACUAACUUCCAAUUAGAGAAGGUUUAAGCAAUAUACCUUUCAAAAGCUGCAACUCAGCUUUUCCUCAUGGUAAGAUGCCAGAAAAGUCAGUAAAAAUCCUCCUCCCCAUGUUCCAAAAGCUUCCUUUGAGUCGCCAAAUCAGCGAACAUCGAGCGAAGCGCGAAAUCAGCUCGAAUCGGCGACUUCUAUUCAAAGAGAGAGAAACCCUAGAGAGAGAGAGAGAGAGGUGCAAGGCUGCUUCUCUGAGCUCUAGCAUCAUCUAAGGAGCUCCAGAGGUUGUGCUCGGGUCAAAUAGAUAGGGACAAGGAGUGAAAUUACAAAAAUAGCCUUGCUGCCACGUAUUUGCCAAUGUGUACCGGUACACAAUGAUGAUUGUACCGGUACACAAUGCAGAAAAAUGCUGAAUUUCGCCAGAGCAAUGCACUUUCUUACUUCUGGCCUUCCAAUCACUCCCAAACUUGUCCAAUCUCUUCUCUACACCCUUUAGAAGAUGUACGAUAGCUCCAAAUAUCCUUCCACACACUCGAACUUCUCAAUUUGCUUAAGUUCAGUAUAUUAUAUAGCGGUAAAGGUUUAUUACAAUGAUUGCAAUUUCAAAUUACACCUACAUAUUAAACAUGUAUAAUGUUAAGUAUCUUUGUUCAGUACAAUCCGACUUUGGCGAAGUUUAGGGACAAACCUUUUCCGGCAUAUAAUGAUAUUGCAUUUCUUUCUAGAUCAACUACUGCCACAGGACAAUUUGGAAUGUCCUCGCAAAUGCCCGUACCAACAAUUGAUAGCUCAUCCUCAUCUUCUCCUGGUGAGGAUGAUACCGUUGUAGGUGUCAGACAGCUUGCAAUUAAUUUCUUACCCAGUCUCUUUGAACUAGGGUCCUCACACUCACCCUUGCAUACAAAUGUACCAGGCAGUAAUACUUUGCGCUCCCCUAGCCCUCCCCUAGUGCAACCAAAUAUAGGAGGGAGUGCUAGUGGAUCUGGACAUAGCUCUGCGGGUAAAAGAGCUCGCUCUCCAGAGGCCUCACUCCCUCGAAAGAAACAACCAUCUGUUUCCGCCGGCCGAAAAAAAAAAAAUUGACAUAACCGGCGAAGCAAUAUCGGAAUUGGUAGAUAUUGGAAAACAAAAGUUGAACCUUGUACGAGAAAUGUACCAACAAGAUCUCACCAAAUAUUCUAAUACUCUGUCAGUUGAACAGUGUAUGAAUAGGGUUUAUAAUAUGCCCGGAAUUACAGAUGAGCAAGCCCUAGCUGCACGGGAAGCAUUACUGAAUGAGCCACAAAAAUGCCUUUUUAUGACUAUGAAUGAUCGCAUAGCAGCAAGAUGGAUAGGGCGGCAAUGCGAGGUCCAAGACGUCUUGUACAAAAAAAACUUUUUUGGUUUUUAGAUUGUUUUGUUAUUGUGUCUUGGUGUUUGUAGAAUAGAGUAGGAUGUGGUGUCUCGAAGCAUGUGUGUUUUAGACUUGUAUGUUAGAUUAUUUGUAUGUUUGUUUAUUUUUAUGUAUGAUUAUGUACUAUGUUUGCUUAUAUGUUAGUUUGAUUGUGU